UACGUAGGCAGCAAGCGUUGUUCGGAGUUACUGGGCGUAAAGAGUGUGUAGGCGGUUUGCUAAGUUCGGUGUGAAAUCUCCCGGCUCAACUGGGAGGGUGCGCCGAAGACUGGCAGGCUUGAGUACGGGAGAGGAAAGCGGAAUUCCUGGUGUAGCGGUGAAAUGCGUAGAUAUCAGGAGGAACACCUGCGGUGUAGACGGCUUUCUGGACCGUAACUGACGCUGAGACACGAAAGCGUGGGUAGCAAACAGG
rnacentral:rRNA from 1 species